UACGUAGGCAGCAAGCGUUGUUCGGAGUUACUGGGCGUAAAGGGUGCGUAGGCGGCUUUUUAAGUUUGGUGUGAAAUCUCCCGGCUCAACUGGGAGGGUGCGCCGAAUACUGAGAGGCUAGAGUGUGGGAGAGGAAAGUGGAAUUCCUGGUGUAGCGGUGAAAUGCGUAGAUAUCAGGAGGAACACCUGUGGUGUAGACAGCUUACUGGACCACUUCUGACGCUGAGACACGAAAGCGUGGGUAGCAAACAGG
rnacentral:rRNA from 1 species